GCGCUCAUAGCUCAACUGGAUAGAGCAUUAGACUUCGGAUCUAAGGGUUAGGGGUUCGAAUCCCUUUGAGCGUGCCA
rnacentral:tRNA from 1 species